CGCUGGCGGCAGGCCUAACACAUGCAAGUCGAGCGGUAGAGAGGAGCUUGCUCCUCUUGAGAGCGGCGGACGGGUGAGUAAUGCCUAGGAAUCUGCCUGGUAGUGGGGGAUAACGUUCGGAAACGGACGCUAAUACCGCAUACGUCCUACGGGAGAAAGCAGGGGACCUUCGGGCCUUGCGCUAUCAGAUGAGCCUAGGUCGGAUUAGCUAGUUGGUGAGGUAAUGGCUCACCAAGGCGACGAUCCGUAACUGGUCUGAGAGGAUGAUCAGUCACACUGGAACUGAGACACGGUCCAGACUCCUACGGGAGGCAGCAGUGGGGAAUAUUGGACAAUGGGCGAAAGCCUGAUCCAGCCAUGCCGCGUGUGUGAAGAAGGUCUUCGGAUUGUAAAGCACUUUAAGUUGGGAGGAAGGGCAGUAAAUUAAUACUUUGCUGUUUUGACGUUACCGACAGAAUAAGCACCGGCUAACUCUGUGCCAGCAGCCGCGGUAAUACAGAGGGUGCAAGCGUUAAUCGGAAUUACUGGGCGUAAAGCGCGCGUAGGUGGUUUGUUAAGUUGGAUGUGAAAUCCCCGGGCUCAACCUGGGAACUGCAUUCAAAACUGACUGACUAGAGUAUGGUAGAGGGUGGUGGAAUUUCCUGUGUAGCGGUGAAAUGCGUAGAUAUAGGAAGGAACACCAGUGGCGAAGGCGACCACCUGGACUAAUACUGACACUGAGGUGCGAAAGCGUGGGGAGCGAACAGGAUUAGAUACCCUGGUAGUCCACGCCGUAAACGAUGUCAACUAGCCGUUGGAAGCCUUGAGCUUUUAGUGGCGCAGCUAACGCAUUAAGUUGACCGCCUGGGGAGUACGGCCGCAAGGUUAAAACUCAAAUGAAUUGACGGGGGCCCGCACAAGCGGUGGAGCAUGUGGUUUAAUUCGAAGCAACGCGAAGAACCUUACCAGGCCUUGACAUCCAAUGAACUUUCUAGAGAUAGAUUGGUGCCUUCGGGAGCAUUGAGACAGGUGCUGCAUGGCUGUCGUCAGCUCGUGUCGUGAGAUGUUGGGUUAAGUCCCGUAACGAGCGCAACCCUUGUCCUUAGUUACCAGCACGUGAUGGUGGGCACUCUAAGGAGACUGCCGGUGACAAACCGGAGGAAGGUGGGGAUGACGUCAAGUCAUCAUGGCCCUUACGGCCUGGGCUACACACGUGCUACAAUGGUCGGUACAGAGGGUUGCCAAGCCGCGAGGUGGAGCUAAUCCCACAAAACCGAUCGUAGUCCGGAUCGCAGUCUGCAACUCGACUGCGUGAAGUCGGAAUCGCUAGUAAUCGCGAAUCAGAAUGUCGCGGUGAAUACGUUCCCGGGCCU
rnacentral:rRNA from 1 species